UAGAUCAGUUGGUAAAUCAUCUGUCUGCAAUGCAGGAGACCUGGGUUCGAUUCCUGG
rfam:TPA: Bos taurus chromosome 2, whole genome shotgun sequence.